rnacentral:rRNA from 1 species
AUUGAACGCUGGCGGCAGGCCUAACACAUGCAAGUCGAGCGCGCGGCGGACGGGUGUGUAAUGUAUGGGAAAAUGUCUGCUGGAGGGGGAUAAAUACUGGAAACGGUAGCUAAUAUCGCAUACCAUCAGUUGUGCCCAGAUGGGAUUAGCUAGUAGGUGGGGUAACGGCUUAACCAGGCGACGCGCCCUAGCUGGUCUGUGAGGAUGAACAGCUACACUGGAACUGAGGCACGGUACAGAAUCCUACGGGAGGCAGCAGUGGGGAAUAUUGCGCAAUGGGCGCAAACCUGAUACAGCCAUGCCGCGUGUGUGAGGAAGGCCUUCGGGUUGUAAAGUAAUUUCAGAAGGGAGGCGUUACCCGCAGAAGAAGCACCGGCUAACUCCGUGCCAGCAGCCGCGGUAGUAG